GCCGAAGUGGCGGAACUGGCAUACGCGCAUGGUUGAGGGCCAUGUGGGAUUUCCCUUCCGGGUUCAAGUCCCGGCUUCGGCACCA
rnacentral:tRNA from 1 species